rnacentral:rRNA from 1 species
GACGAACGCUGGCGGCGUGCUUAACACAUGCAAGUCGAGCGGUAAGGCCCCUUACGGGGGUACACGAGGCGGCGAACGGGUGAGUAACACGUGGGUGACCUGCCCUCAGCUCUGGGAUAAGCCUGGGGAAACUGGGUCUAAUACCGGAUAUGACUCCAUGACGCAUGUCGUGGGGUGGAAAGCCUUGUGCGGCUGGGGAUGGGCCCGCGGCCUAUCAGCUUGUUGGUGGGUGAUGGCCUA